UCUCUUCCUUCACUACAGAAGCUAAUUAAUCUUCACCAGAUAAUAUUGUUCUGUACUUUAGAAACUCAUAUGUGCAACUCCCUUUGAUAUACCAUGUCAUGGGGUGGACUUAGCCCUUUAAGAGAGGACUGUGCCUCAUUAUCCAGCCCACCUGUGCCUCAUUAUCAGUGUCAAAGAAGCCUGAUAGAGGAUAGCUGUUCCCUAUACAAAGCCACAGGGGGACAGGAAAUUAGAGGAGAAAGCUAUGGAAGAGAAGAGCUGCAAUGAGCAAGAGGCUCUUUGACUGGGAGAAGGGUUGGGGCUAGAAAGCUAGAGCCAGAAGGCUGAGCUCCAUUUUGAAAUGACUGGAAGUGAUGCCUUCAUGAAGAACAGACAAGGACAGAAGAAGAGCUCCCAGUGUGGGAGAAGAUGCCAGAAAAUGUAGAAGACAGUGGAAGUUACCAAAGUCCAACAUCUGUGUGCUAUUGCUCCUUUGGUGCUAAGACCCUGGGUGUGUGCAGCAUGACAAACCUUAUCCAAACACACAAUCUAGACUCACUGCUCCAGAUGAAGGUGCAAAGAACUUCCCUGUUCAGUGCAUAGCCAACUCUGCUUGUUCUACAGAAAGUCUGGAUUCUGGAAAUAUCCCAGGACAUGUCAGGGGUAGAACAAAGAUGAACCAGAAGAUGGAGGGGGGAUAUAUCAUAGGUUGGAGGGGCUGCAGCUGAAGCAAACCUGUGUAUUCACUGCUCUCAUUAGCCCCAUAGGGGCUAUGGCAGCCAGGAGAACAACUUAAAGCAGUACAGUAGCUGCCCUUGCUUGUGCCAGGGGACAAAUUGUUGCCUGCAGCCCUUUAAAAGCAGAAAUGCAAAUUGUGCCUCUCCAGUCUUCACACUGGUACGGUGAUUAA